GUUCCGGUGGCCUAGUGGUUAGAGCGUCUGCCUCAGAUGCAGAAGGCCGUGGGUUUGAUACCCUGUCGAGUCA